rnacentral:rRNA from 1 species
CAGUAGCCACGGUAAUACAGAGGUCUCAAGCGUUGUUCGGAUUCAUUGGGCGUAAAGGGUGCGUAGGCGGUCGGGUAAGUCGGAUGUGAAAUCCUGGGGCUCAACCUCAGAACUGCAUUCGAUACUGCUCGGCUAGAGGACUGGAGAGGAGAGUGGAAUUCACGGUGUAGCAGUGAAAUGCGUAGAUAUCGUGAGGAAGACCAGCGGCGAAGGCGGCUCUCUGGACAGUUCCUGACGCUGAUGCACGAAGGCCAGGGGAGCAAACGGGAUUAGAUACCCCCGUAGUCCCUGUCUCUUAUAC